GACGAACCGUGCGAACGUUGUUCGGAAUCACUGGGCUUAAAGAGUUCGUAGGCGGUCCGUCAAGUGGGGUGUGAAAGCCCUCGGCUCAACCGAGGAAUUGCGCUCCAAACUGUCGGGCUCGAGGGAGAUAGAGGUGAGCGGAACUGAUGGUGGAGCGGUGAAAUGCGUUGAUAUCAUCAGGAACACCAGAGGCGAAGGCGGCUCACUGGGUCUCUUCUGACGCUGAGGAACGAAAGCGUGGGGAGCGAACAGG
rnacentral:rRNA from 1 species